rnacentral:lncRNA from 1 species
UUGUAUAUGCUUUAAUUUCUUCCUUUAUAUAUGUGGAGAUGGUCAGAUGGUUAAUUUUGUUUGAAUAUAUAGAGCCUUAUUAUGAAGGCUACUUUGUAAAUAAUUUGGCAAUGAAGGAUUUUAUAAGUAUUGCAAUAAUGUUACAACAAUCACAAUUAGGUGUACAUAGUUGAUAUACAAUCUGAGUGUUUGGAAGUCUGGGCAGUUCUGCAGUUCAUGUUCUUGCUUUCAAUUUACUGGAGACUAUGUGACCAUACAUCUGGCUAAUCCUCCCUCAUGCUACUAUGUGGUGUAUCUGGAAAAUGAGAAAUGACAAGAUUUUCAGAGGGGCAGAUAUCAACGUGAACAGCUUGGUUCGUAACAUCAAACUCACGGUUUGGGCAUGGAUGGAGGUAGAUAAAAGGGGGACUGACCUUAAAAGGGACUGCAGAGUCAUGCAACUUCUCUUGGACUGGGAAGGGACAGUAGCAGAGAUCUGAAGGGGAAUCAACAUCUGAACUGGCAACAUCACAGCAGCAACCUCCUCGGCUGCACAGGGCAAGUGAUAAAGUCCCUGGGGAUGGAAUCAGGGGAACUGCAGAGCCUUCCUGAAGCAUAAUGCCACUGCUGGCAGGGGCACAAGUCAGAGGAGGAACAAGGGAUCAUCAACUUCUUGCUAUGCCUCUCUUUUCUCUUUUAUUUUUUUCCUGGCACAUGUAUGCUUUAGUGGGUUUCUGUUUUAACCUGACAGUGCACUUAUGCUUAUUGUUCAGGGGUGUACUCUUUGUCUUUGAUUGAUGAUUUUAAUAAAAUUUCUGCUUUUAUCAAAAAA